rnacentral:rRNA from 1 species
UCGGGUUGUAAAGCACUUUUGUCCGGAAAGAAAUCCUGUGGGCUAAUACCCUGUGGGGAUGACGGUACCGGAAGAAUAAGCACCGGCAACUACGUGCCAGCAGCCGCGGUAAUACGUAGGGUGCAAGCGUUAAUCGGAAUUACUGGGCGUAAAGCGUGCGCAGGCGGUCCGCUAAGACAGAUGUGAAAUCCCCGGGCUUAACCUGGGAACUGCAUUUGUGACUGGCGGGCUAGAGUAUGGCAGAGGGGGGUAGAAUUCCACGUGUAGCAGUGAAAUGCGUAGAGAUGUGGAGGAAUACCGAUGGCGAAGGCAGCCCCCUGGGCCAAUACUGACGCUCAUGCACGAAAGCGUGGGGAGCAAACAGGAUUAGAUACCCUGGUAGUCCACGCCCUAAACGAUGUCAACUAGUUGUCGGGUCUUCAUUGACUUGGUAACGUAGCUAACGCGUGAAGUUGACCGCCUGGGGAGUACGGUCGCAAGAUUAAAACUCAAAGGAAUUGACGGGGACCCGCACAAGCGGUGGAUGAUGUGGAUUAAUUCGAUGCAACGCGAAAAACCUUACCUACCCUUGACAUGGUCGGAACCCUGCUG